rnacentral:pre_miRNA from 1 species
AUUAUGUAUAUAUAUUGGAAGUUGGAACGUUUGCCUACGUUUGCCGCUAGGGGCGCUGCUCCAACUGCAUACAAAUAAGAGUUA